ensembl:snRNA U6 U6 spliceosomal RNA
GUGCUCACUUCAACAGCACAUAUUCUAAAACUGGAAUGAUACAGAGAGGAUUAGCAUAGUCUCCCAGCAAGGAGGACAGGCAAAUUCAUGAAGCAUUCUGUAUUUUU